AUUUAUCGGAGAAGGAUCGGCCCGCGUUGGAUUAGGUAGUUGGUGGGGUAAUGGCCUACCAAGCCGACGAUCCAUAGCUGGUUUGAGAGGAUGAUCAGCCACACUGGGACUGAGACACGGCCCAGACUCCUACGGGAGGCAGCAGUGGGGAAUCUUAGACAAUGGGCGCAAGCCUGAUCUAGCCAUGCCGCGUGAGCGAUGAAGGCCUUAGGGUUGUAAAGCUCUUUCAGGGGGGAAGAUAAUGACUGUACCCCCAGAAGAAGCCCCGGCUAACUCCGUGCCAGCAGCCGCGGUAAUACGGAGGGGGCUAGCGUUGUUCGGAAUUACUGGGCGUAAAGCGCACGUAGGCGGACUGGAAAGUU
rnacentral:rRNA from 1 species